rnacentral:lncRNA from 1 species
CGGCAAAAUCGCAAGUACCAAUCAUCAUAUAGGGACGUCGUUGGAGCAGCUGGGCUGAUAAAUCCAGCUGAUGAUCU